UCCCAUAUUGUCUAGUGGUUAGGAUAUCCGGCUCUCACCCGGAAGGUCCGGGUUCGAUUUCCGGUAUGGGAA
rnacentral:tRNA from 2 species